CUCUGGUUUCUCAAUAGAGGGGUGAUCUUAACUAGGGAUAAUUUGGCACGAUGCAACUGUCAAGGGUGCAAAAAAUGUGUUCUCUGCCAUCAUGACGAGUCCAUUAAACACUUAUUUUUUGAGUGCAAGUUUGCUCGGUUUGUAUGGGCCAUUGUUCAAAUAGCUUUGAAUCUUUAUCCCCCACGUGGUGCACGGAACAUGUUUGGCAAUUGGUUGAGGGGAAUAGAUAAACAAUUUUCUGCACACAUUCUAGUGGGGGCGGCUGCCUUAUGUUGGACUUUGUGGCUCACCAGGAAUGGCAUAGUUUUUAUCCAUACAUGUGUUUCAUCUCCUAUGCAGGUUAUUCAUAUAUGUUCGUGA
rnacentral:rRNA from 1 species